GCGUCUGUAGCCAAGCGGUAUGGCAGCGGGCUUUUAACCCGUAUAUCGCGUGUUCGAAUCACGUCAGGCGCA
rnacentral:tRNA from 4 species